UGGGGAAUUGUUCGCAAUGGGCGCAAGCCUGACGACGCAACGCCGCGUGGAGGACGAAGAUCUUCGGGUCGUAAACUCCUGUCGAGCGGGAAGAAUACCAUUUGGGUUAAUAACCUGGGUGGCUGACGGUACCGCUAAAGGAAGCCCCGGCUAACUCCGUGCCAGCAGCCGCGGUAAUACGGGGGGGGCAAGCGUUGUUCGGAAUUACUGGGCGUAAAGGGCUCGUAGGCGGCCAACUAAGUCCGACGUGAAAUCCCAAGGCUCAACCUUGGAACUGCGUCGGAUACUGGAUGGCUUGAAUUCGGGAGAGGGAUGCAGAAUUCCAGGUGUAGCGGUGAAAUGCGUAGAUAUCUGGAGGAAUACCGGUGGCGAAGGCGGCAUCCUGGACCGACAUUGACGCUGAGGAGCGAAAGCUAGGGGAGCAAACGGG
rnacentral:rRNA from 1 species